rnacentral:rRNA from 1 species
UACGUAGGUGGCGAGCGUUGUCCGGAUUUACUGGGCGUAAAGGGCGCGCAGGCGGUCGUACAAGUCGCGUGUGAAAGCCCCCGGCUCAACUGGGGAGGGUCACGCGAUACUGUUCGACUCGAAGGCAGGAGAGGGAAGCGGAAUUCCCGGUGUAGUGGUGGAAUGACGUAGAUAUCUGGAGGAACACCGGUGGCGAAGGCGGCAUCCUGGACCAACACUGACACUGAGGAGCGAAAGCCAGGGGAGCAAACGGG